GUCAUUUUCUGAAAUUGCUCCUGAAGUGUUUCUUUCAUGCUUUUCACUUCUAGCAUGAUCCGCAUGUGGUUAGAGUUCUGAAGGUGCUUGUGCACACAUGUUCAGCGAUCAAGCGAUGCCGAUCAAUGCAAGAUCCAGCUGACUGAAACAAUAAUCUCAGUAAUGGAUUUACCACCUGGUAGUGUUAGCACUUGUCAGCCCCGCGUUGCAGCUGACACUCUGGACUCUGAGCAGUUCAAACCGUUCAAAGCUUGCUAUGUGACGAGUGGAGCACAAGCAAACAACUACUCAGCCCUCUUUACAUGUAUGAAAAGAAUGUAGCUUGCGCAAGUUAAAAUGUUGUACCAUAUUUCAUUAAACUCUCAGCUUCCUUAUCUGAAUUUGCUCUGACGACAAACUUCUGAAUGGCCGGAUCUGUGGAACGAGCAUUUCAGCUAUCUACUACUGCAGUUCAUAUAGACGAUGCCAGGACGUUAAAGCUCUUCUACUAAACGUUUAGAACUCACUCAUUAGGGUAUUCUGUGCCGGCAUGUAUUGUGGUACAGCUCCGAAUGUUUGAUUCUCAUCAUGUACUGCAGUUAACACGAUGUAUUGAUUUCAUCGUA